CCCUUAGAUGUUCUGGGCCGCACACGCGCUACACUGAAGGAGGCAGCGUGUACUCCUGGAUCGAAAGAUUUGGGUAACCCGCGAAUCUCCUUCGUGCUAGGGAUUGAGGUUUGCAAUUAUCCUUCAUGAACGAGGAAUUCCCAGUAAGUGCAAGUCAUAAGCUUGCGCUGACUACGUCCCUGCCCUUUGUACACACCGCCCGUCGCUACUACCGAUUGAAUGAUUUAGUGAGGACUUCGGACUGGGACCGAUGCGGCUUUCGGGCUGCGUCGGUAUUCUGGAAAGAUGUCCAAACUGUAUCAUUUAGAGGAAGUAAAGNUCGUANCA
rnacentral:rRNA from 1 species